rnacentral:rRNA from 1 species
UACGUAGGGGCCGAGCGUUGUCCGGAGUUACUGGGCGUAAAGCGCGCGCAGGCGGCCCCGCAAGCAUGGCGUGAAAGCCCCCGGCUCAACCGGGGAGGGUCGUCGUGGACUGCGGGGCUUGAGGGCGGUAGGGGUUGGUGGAAUGCCCGGUGUAGUGGUGAAAUGCGUAGAGAUCGGGCGGAACACCCGUGGCGAAGGCGGCCAACUGGGCCGACCCUGACGCUGAGGCGCGAAGGCGUGGGGAGCGAACAGG